rnacentral:rRNA from 1 species
AUUCCCAUGUAACAGGCUAGGAGCUACUUAAAGGAGGUACAGCUCCUUUAACAAAGAACACAACCUCAACCAGCGGAUAAGACCUCACUACCCACCACUUACCCGUAGGCCUUAAAGCAGCCACCAUCAAAGAGUGCGUCAAAGCUCUAAACCAAAAAUCCAAAAACAAUACGAAUCCCUACACCACUAACAGGCCAAUCUAUAACAAUAGAUGAACCAAUGCUAGAACAAGUAACCAGGAUAUAACAUCCCCUCAAGCGCCAGCCCAUAUACCACUAACAGCACAACCACAAUACCACCCUCUAGACCAAACAUUGUAUACACCCUGUCAACCCAACCCAGGAGCGCACAACUAGGACGAUCAAACUCUGCAAAAGGAACUCGGCAAACCCAGGGCCCGACUGUUUACCAAAAACAUAGCCUUCAGCCAAACAAGUAUUGAAGGUGAUGCCUGCCCAGUGACACUACGUUCAACGGCCGCGGUAUCCUAACCGUGCAAAGGUAGCGCAAUCAAUUGUCCCAUAAAUCGAGACUUGUAUGAACGGCCAAACGAGGCCUUAGCUGUCUCCUGCAGACAAUCAGUGAAACUGAUCUCCCUGUACAAAAGCAGGGAUAAACACAUAAGACAAGAAGACCCUGUGGAACUUAAAAAUCAAUAGCCACCCUACACUACCCCAAAACCUACUAGGCUUACCACCCCAAACGUUGGCUAACAUUUUUAGGUUGGGGCGACCCUGGAGAAAAACAAACCCUCCAAAAACAAGGCCAAACCCCUUAACCAAGAGCAACCCCUCAACGUACCAACAGUACCCAGACCCAAUAAAAUUGACCAAUGAACCAAGCUACCCCAGGGAUAACAGCGCAAUCUCCCCCAAGAGCCCAUAUCGACGAGGAGGUUUACGACCUCGAUGUUGGAUCA